GGCCGAGCCCGCUCCGCGCCUGCCGCCCCGCUCGGCCUCGGCCCGGCGUCACCCGGAGCCGAGCGGUGCGAACGUGCGGAGCCGCAGCUCACGCUGGCUCGUUCGGGGAGGUGGCGGCAGACGCGGAAUAAACGCUGUGCGAUAUUUAAUCCUGACCUCCAAACGUGAAAAAUUCAAGGUUAUCUGACACGUGUCAAAAAAUGCUCUUGAACUGCCGAGCGAGACAGUUGUCUCUAGGAAAUCACAAAUAAUCUGGACUGUGCAGCAAUGUGAAGAGGAGCUCUGGGUACAACACAGCAGCUGUAAGCGUGAACACUGAGAACAAUCUGAAGAGAUCUCUUAUCCUUAGAACUGAGAGACUCAGCUGGAAACUUCUGGGGAACAAGAAUGUGGCUGCAUUAGUUUUUCACUUGGCAUCCUAUCCUCCAAAUGAAGCACCAACAAAAAUAACACAGUCUAAAGAAGCAUCAAAGGCGUUUAUCUGCUCACUCACCAGUAACGUGAUACACUGGAAGCUAACACUGCUCACCCUUCAAGAAAACAAGAAAGAGUUCUCUACCAAACAAACUGAAAUCCAAAUCAACUUCACAAGGGAGUUCCAGGUUCACUAAAAGCCACAACAUAAUAAUUAAAAGAACAGCUGAAGCAAAUAAAUUCUUACAACAUCUCCUAAAUUAACUGUAUUUGAUGGCACUUCAAGAGCUUGCAUCAAUUCUGUCUAGAGGAUCUGUCUCAGAGUACAAGGAUUCCAACCAGCAACACGACACCACUCCUUCAGAUUUCUUUCCCACUCCUUAGAAAUCAGACAUAAGGCCUCUGCUUGCCAUUUCUACUGGUACGUGGUAUCAGAUGCUUUUUGCUAUAUACUCAGAGAGUACACUUGUGAUCAAGAUAACUUGAGACCAGCGCAUGUUCUACAAAACCUCAUUAUUCAGCCAAGCUCUCCACAUGUACCUCACCUGCAGAAAGGAAAAUGCAAUUUUACUGUAGUCAGCUAGUAAAAUAAAGCUGAGCAGAAUUAUCUUCAGCAUUCACUUAUGCAUGAAUCUUUCGAUAACUGUAACUCUGCAAGUCAAAGAUGGGAUACCUAUAGCUGCAUGUUCUUAAGAGAAUGGUGUGACUCCAUAAACAAGAUGUUGACACUGCUUUUAGCAGGCCACAGGCCUCGUGUUAAUCUAAUAACCAGGUCUCUGGACUUGUCUUGGCCUGCCUGGAGCUUUGUCCAAAUCUAACAGCAAUUAUCUAAAGACAAGGUGACAUCUAAAUUGUAUAGCUUUUACUUAGCUUCAGAUAAUUGCAUGAUGUAACACCUAUUAAGUUUACAUAUAUUUAUAAAUUAUAUACAUGGAACAACAUUUAUAUGUAAAUUUAUUUAUUUAAAUAUUAUAUACAAGCUGUAUUUUCAUAUAUGCAUACUUAUAAAAAUUGGUGUUGCAUCACAAUUGCUACACAUAAGUACAUGCACACAUAGAACGCACGUACAAAUAAGUGUGUGUACUUCUGUAACUAAUGGAUAUCAAUAACAAAUAAGAUAUUCCACAGGGAAUUAAUUACCUAUGUCCCCACAAUGAAAAGCAGCAUAGAGAAACACAAGCAUAGUAUGAUAGCAGAGGCUUUGAAAAGAAAGGCACAGGAUGAUACCAGAGGGCUCAAGAAAACUCACCAAUGACUGCUCAAAGGAAAUCAGACUUGAGAAUUAGGCAAAAAUAGUCUGGGGGAUAAGAAAAUAAAGUACCAGCAUCUACCACACAUGAAACACACGAUACAAGUGAGAAAUUCAAAUUUAACAUGGAACAGCAAAGUAAUAAAGAACAAAGCAUACAGUACAUCAGCAAACAAUAACCUCAAGAAGAUACAGCGGUGAGGAGGAAGAACCCAUUGACACUACACAUCUCCAUCAGAAGGAUUUCGCAUACCAGUCUCCCAUCCCCCAUUCUUCCCUGUCCAUAUUUAAAGGUGUUUUGCCUUUCUAACAAGUAUUAAGCCACAUACUGCAACUGUUUACAUGAUGUUCUUCAGGUUUCUGAUAUUGAAUCUUUACCGCUAUGGUAUAGCGGAAAUCACUAAAAUUUCACUGGCAUUUACUACUCAUUAAAAGAAUUCUGUUCACCUUCUUUGCCACAAGGACACACUACUUGCUCAUGUUCAAUUUGAUGUCCACCAGGACCCCCAGCCCUUUUUCUGCAAAGCUGCCUUCCAGCUGGGAGACACACAGCAUAUACUGGCAGGCACAUGGGAUUACUCCUUCCCCGGUGCUGGAAUUUGCACUUCUCCUUGUGGAGCUGCACAAGGUUCCUGCCAAUCCAUUUCUCCAGCCUGUCAAGAUCCUUCUGCACAGCAGCACGACCAGGAUUUAUAUGCUCCAGCUAUAUAGUUAAUUCUGUACUGACAUCAAUGAGGUAUUGCUUUCUGGCAGGUGUUCAACAGGAGAACAAGCCAACUGCAGCCCAUGUCAAAGUCAGCAAGUCAGAAAACCACUAGACAUACAGAUUUCAUUAUAGCACAAAGCAUUUCAAUAUCAGCUUUGCUUAGGAACACCUUUCAGUACAAUCAUGCUCCCUCAGGCUCACAAGUAACCAAGGAGCUUAUGAAUACUUUCAGAAAUUGACUUAUUUCAGUUCAGAAUUUCAGUUGAAGAUCCAUGCAUGUGAGCAAUUCCUUUCACAUCUCUCACUGGUCUGCCUCUUCCGGCAUUCACUCAUCUAACCAGAGCACAUGCAAAUGCCUGGAUUUUUGCAAAGAUGGGUAAAUUCAGAAACAAGUGGGUCUGUUAGGAAUUUAAACACCUCUACAUUGUUCAGGAAAAGGUGUCAUCCCAUUACAAAUUAUGUACUUCUCUAAUUCUAGAGGAGGGUGCAGGGGGUGGGAAAGACAUCCUUCUUUUUUAGGGCUUCCUGCCAAAGCACCUGAAGCACUGAAAACUUAAGUCUUAAAACUACUGGAAAGGAAAACGAAGGUCAACAUGUUACUUCAGUUCAUGGUAAUAUGAGAUGUAUGGCAUCUGCCAAAUUCUUCGCAGCCUGAAACAAUGAAAGUAAAGACAAAAUGUAGAGUCAUGUCAGAACAGGCAAAAGAGUCUGCUAACGCUACAGACUUGCAUUCCUGUUAUAAAGCAACUCCUACUAAUUCUAAGGAAGUCUCAAUCCUGCAUGUUUACUUCACCUGCUAUACCAAGCUAAGAAUAUCCGUUUAGCACAAGUAAAACAAGACUUCAGAAGUAUAUGAUUAGUGAUCAACAAGAAACCACAAACACAAAGAAGAGCUUCAUAACCACUUACCAAGCCAAUGACCAGUCAGCCAAAUAUUCACUUUGUGUAUUCAUUCAUUGGUUGUGUUGUGGUGCGUAUGUCCAGUCAAAAAUAAAUGUUUGCAUUCAUACCACAAAAACUGAAAACCAGCCUCAUUACAACCCAUGUAAAGCCCCUUUCAGGGGUGGUUGGAUGGUUUGCAUUUUUUUUUUUUCUCUUUAAAAAGCUAAACCGACUACCGCCUUGCACAAUCAAGACUGCUUGAAAAUGAAAGUCACAAGUUGCAUCGCAGCUUCCUCACCACAGGUGUUCUGUUCUACAAAAUCCUUUGAUGGAAGCUCCAGCACCCAAUUACUCAUUCUCAGCCCUUCCACUUGUUUCCGUAACUAUGCCCUUCCCUCUAAACCUCCUUUUUGCACACAUGACUUUACUUAACUCAAAUUCCAGGAGAUGCUCUUUUCUGCUUGUAACACAAAUUAUCCCUAAUUGGUGCUCAACUGAAACCAUUCUCACCUAAUCUCAGCUCUAGUUGUUUGCUUUAAUUCCUACAGCUGCUUUCUAUCGCGAGACAUGUUCAGCUCCUUGCCAGCCUAUCCACCUAUGCUUUCCAAACUGUUCAUUAAUAUUUUUCUCUUUGCUUACUGAUCACUCCUUUUCCAGAUUUCCUGCAGAAACCCACAGGGUCUUCUCCUCUAUGUUUGGAACUGAGGUAGGAAAAUCUUUAUUUUUUUAAAAUGGUCAUCACGUAGCCAAAAACUGGCAUAACAAUAUUCUUCUGUCCAAACUCUUCCAUUGAAUACCUCAUGCACACUUCAUCAUCAACCUAAGCCUAAAAGAAAAAAGCACCACAAGAAAACAACAACAAAAAAACCCAUACCCAAACUGAAAAUGAACUCCCAGUUGUCCACCCUAUCUAAACAUCUCAAUUCCAGUUACAAAUCAGCACUCUAUAUAACAUUGUACUUUUUUUUUUUUAUUUUCUUAAAAUGUAUAUACUACUUACUGUCUUUAGUGGCAAGGAAAACCUGGUGGGGACAAACGAAGUGUUACUUUUAAGUCUUAUUUGUAGGAUGUCCCCCAAACAGUGCUAGUAAAGGACUGAGGAGCUUUCUCUCCAGACAAACACAUUCAACAAAAAUCAAACUGUUUUGGAGAUGAGUGGACUCAACACUCCAAGUUGUAUGUUCAUACAGGUGCGCAGCUCUGCUUAAAGGAGACAGCACAAGCAUUGGUUUCUUCUACCAACAGUAAGCUCACGGACUCCUGGUAAUUAUCUGACAUUGGUGUCAACAAAAGGAAGGGUGGCCCCACAUACUAUCAUCGCCACCAGCGGUAACAUCUGUACAUUUCCUGCAGCCAAAUUGUAACACAGGCUUCUGAAAAUCAGACCUACAUUUGCAAAGCUUUUACAAUUCGUCCACAACUUUUCCUUAUUAUACAUCUGUCUUAGGCUGACCUUUUAAAUUCAAGCCAAAAUAACUCAGCUUUUUUGAGGGCAUGGCUGGGAAGAUAUCCACACAUGACAAGAUUCCUAUAAAGACUUUACCAAAGAGCUCUAGAGCCUCCCUUAAUUUGAAGGAGGAACAUGAAGCUAAGGACGUUAUUCUACUGUGAGCCCUACACCUUCUGCAGUCUCAAGACUGUUGCAAAUCUGGCCUAGUUAUAACUUGAGAAGCCAUCUGUGCAAGGAGACUACUAGACAACUGCUAGAGUUCAAUUUCUUUGAAGAUUCAUUCCACAUGCAUCAAAACAAGCACCAUCCUUCAAAAUACAGGCAACCAGAUGCACAAGGCGGUACGUGGCAUUCCAGCUGCAGAGCUGAACAAGAUGUUCUGCCCUUGCUGCUGGGAUCACCAUAGAAGCAGGCCUAAGAUUAAGACCAAACAUCCUCUUCUCCUACUUUCUCCUUUCCCCUACACUGUGUCCAAGCACUGAAGUUAAUGUUGAGGGAGACGAGGAGCAAAGCAUGUACCCAGCAGCAUGGGAGAAGACAGGCAUUGGAACCGGAGAAGAGAGUUGAAAUAAGACCGGAAAAGUGAAUCAAGAACAGGACAGAAGAUAAACUUCUCCAGAACUUGGAAACUAUACCAAUUAUUCCCCACUUCAACUGUUCUUCUCAGCCCCUGGAUUAACAGCAAGCAGAUUUAUUGACAAAGUUUUCUUGUCAACAGCCCCUUUUAGCGGCAAACCUGUUAAGAGAAUAAUAUCAUAAUUGAUAAAUUUUACAGUGCAUCUAUUCAACGCUGAAUAUACAGACAGUGAAAUAACCACAAGGAUAAUCUUUUGCCACAAUACUAUUUAUCUGCAUACCAGCAGCUACUCAACUUACACCAGUCUUACUUGCUAUUUUAGGCUACCAAAAGCAGCACCUAAUCCCAAAAAUCCAAUACAUAGCAUUGUCACACCCACAGAGCCUGGAAAACACUUCAAAAAAAGCACACAACCACCCCAAAAAUUUCUGUGCUACCAAAUUGCAUUACAUACAUAUAAAACAAUAAGUAGUUCUUGAAAAUGGAGGAGGAUUGAGAUUGUUUCACUCAAUAUUAGGUUCCUUGAAGAGGAAAAUGAGAAGGUCUUCCAAAAACUGGGAUAUUCUGAAACUAUGAAAAAGUACAAGGCAGGAAGCAUACCAACAGUGAUUGAGUUAACACUCCAAUCAUCUGGACAUCAACUAAAAGGCUUUAUCCUCCCCCCAUUUGGAUAAAUGAAAAACACCUGAAAAUAAUCAAGUACGCAACUACCUUCAAAAACACAACCCUAGGUCAAAUCUCUCCCAACCUGACCAACUUUUGCCUAAGCUUCAGAAGGAGACUGUUGCAAGCACGGCCACAGUACGUUCUUCAGCAACUCGUCCAAAAGCAGACUAAGACCUCAAAAUUGCAAAAUUUAUAUCAAUGGAUGUUUCAGCCUCAAACACAUGUAAAUAUGUUGCAUUACAGAAGUUGCAGUCUGGUGAAAAAGUCACUAAGAAAAGCAGCAAGGUAAGAUUUCAAUGUGAAAAU